rnacentral:tRNA from 1 species
UUCUGUAGUGUAGUGGUUAUCACGUUCGCCUCACACGCGAAAGGUCCCCGGUUCGAAACCGGGCAGAA